UCUGGUGUGAAGGAGGACAUCGUCACCAAACUGGACAAACGAGAGAUCAAGACCAACUACGUGAAUCCCAUCUACAUGAUCAUUGCCAUCAUCGCUGUUGUUCUCUUUCUUGUAACCAUCUGUGUGGCUGGAUUCUGCCUGUAUAAGAAGAGAAAUGCCAAACGCCCUCCAUCCCCGGUAAACGACCCGGCUGUGCAACAAAUGAUGCUUCCAAAUCAAAAUGCCUAAAAGACAAAGAGAGGACCCUGAACCCAGUUUACGGGUACGUUCUGCACUGAAACAAGGAGCAGACCGACACGCUCUCCUCAGAAUUCAUUGGCUCUCAUCGUAUCAGACAUGAAGUGAUCAGAGUUGGGAAUUUAAAUUUAAAUCUUUGAAAUACAAAGAAAACGCGUUUGAAAAAGAGUUGACAAAUGCUUUACAAAUCUUCUUUAGGGUUGUUUGGUGACGUUAGUUUCAAAUAUAAAAAGCUUUUCCGCUGAUAAAAGACGCUUAAAUA